UGUUUUAGAAGCUGAUUUUAUAGCAUUGGAUUUUUACUCUAAAGGAAGGGGUUUCCCCUAAAAU
rnacentral:tRNA from 1 species